UUUCCUGGAAUUAGGAGGAAUUAGUUCUCUUGAAAGUCGAAGAUAAAUAACGACAACGGAGAAUGUAAGCACGGUGUAUACUUUGUAGAGAAACAAUUCCUUUGGAACUUCCCCCUUGUUUAACAAUGACUCAACGGAAAGUAAGCGUGCAGAUUCAUCGUACUAAAAAUAUACGCGUGAAUAUCAUAUUGAUAUUGUAGCGGUGGUGGAAAUAUAGAGGCGUCUCACUAAGUGAGUAGUACGGUAUAGAUUUGUUACUA